UCAACGGAGAGUUUGAUCCUGGCUCAGGAUGAACGCUGGCGGCGUGCUUAACACAUGCAAGUCGAACGAUGAUGCCCACUUGUGGGUGGAUUAGUGGCGAACGGGUGAGUAACAAGGUAAUAACCUGCCCUUGGCUCUUGGAUAAGGCUGGGAAAAUGGG
rnacentral:rRNA from 1 species